rnacentral:tRNA from 1 species
GGGGUCAUAGCUCAGUUGGUCAGAGCGCACGGUUCACAUCCGUGAGGUCAAGAGUUCAAGUCUCUUUGUCCCCA